rnacentral:lncRNA from 1 species
UCCCCUAAAUUGUCAGAGUGAAAUUGUAGGAGAUAAUGUACAAUUAUGCUGUCACUAAAGUGUGUGGAGCUGUUUGCAGGAGCUUUGGAGAGAGAUCCUUCCAGGAAAGGCAAGGCUGCCUGCUCCCACCUCUGCUGGGCUUCAGAGAUGGGCUGAAAGCUGCAUUUCACUCUGUGUGUGUGGGAUACUGUCUGAGCCUCAGGAGGGAUGCCUUUUCCUUGUCCUGCUCAGCCAUGGAAGCAUGGCAGAUGUUGGGAAUGGAGCUUCCAGGAGAGCAAGAAGAGGAGAUGUUAAUAACUUUCAGGCCUUUUUGAUCUGGAGUGGACCCAGUCUCCCAAAUCAGAGCUUUGAAAGAUGACAGCUCCCUUUCCAUGGAUGUUGGAUGCUGGGAUGGAGGGUGUGAGAGCAAGGAGCCCACAUUCCACCCACAAGCCCCAGAGGGAAGCACAGCGAUGCCAGAAACAAGAAGCAAGGAACUCAUUUCACACUCAGGUGAAUUGCAGGAGAUCCCCAAGUGAACCAUCAAGGCACCUCUUACUCUUACAGCUUGAAUUGGCUUUAAAAACAACACUCCCAAUCACUCCUCAUUGGGGUUUUCUUUUGCAUGCAGUCAAUGGAGUCCCCUUAAGAAUUUCUGAGAGUUUUUCUGGAUGCAUGAAUUCAUGGCUUGGGUCCUUUGAGCUUUGCAGGCUGGAAAGGGAUGCUGGAGGCUCAUGCCACGUUUGUUGUUGAGGAUGGCUCAGCCUUGGGAACCCUCGCUGGAUGUGUCCCCAUCCUGGUGGUCUCUGCUCUCAGAAGGGGCAUUGGCUGCAGCUCUUGGCCACAAGCAGCUGGUGAGGUUUGACAGGGACACCAGCCUUGCUACUCAGUGUCUCUCGUGCAGGGAGAGGCAGGCAAAGAACCUCUGU